rnacentral:rRNA from 1 species
UACGUAGGGUGCGAGCGUUGUCCGGAAUUAUUGGGCGUAAAGAGCUCGUAGGCGGCUUGUCGCGUCGGAUGUGAAAGCCCGGGGCUUAACCCCGGGUCUGCAUUCGAUACGGGCAGGCUAGAGUUCGGUAGGGGAGAUCGGAAUUCCUGGUGUAGCGGUGAAAUGCGCAGAUAUCAGGAGGAACACCGGUGGCGAAGGCGGGUCUCUGGGCCGAUACUGACGCUGAGGAGCGAAAGCGUGGGGAGCGAACAGG